UACGUAGGGUGCGAGCGUUAAUCGGAAUUACUGGGCGUAAAGGGUGAGUAGGCGGCGGUAUAAGUUAGAUGUGAAACUCCAGGGCUUAACUUUGGAAGUGCAUUUAAUACUGUAUGAGCUAGAGUCUGUAAGAGGUGAGAGGAAUUCCAAGUGUAGCAGUGAAAUGCGUAGAGAUUUGGAGGAAUAUCGAUGGCGAAGGCAUCUCACUGGGAUAAGACUGACGCUGAGUCACGAAAGCGUGGGUAGCAAACAGG
rnacentral:rRNA from 1 species